GACGAACGCUGGCGGCGUGCUUAACACAUGCAAGUCGAACGGUAAGGCCCUUCGGGGUACACGAGUGGCGAACGGGUGAGUAACGCGUGAGUAACCUGCCCUUGACUCUGGGAUAACAGAUGGAAACGUCUGCUAAUACCGGAUACUCAGCCUUGUGGACAUCCACAGGGUUGGAAAGCUCCGGCGGUCAAGGAUGGACUCGCGUCCUAUCAGCUAGUUGGUGGGGUAACGGCCUACCAAGGCGACGACGGGUAGCCGGCCUGAGAGGGCGACCGGCCACAUUGGGACUGAGAUACGGCCCAGACUCCUACGGGAGGCAGCAGUGGGGAAUAUUGCACAAUGGGCGAAAGCCUGAUGCAGCAACGCCGCGUGCGGGAUGACGGCCUUCGGGUUGUAAACCGCUUUCAGCAGGGACGAAGCGCAAGUGACGGUACCUGCAAAAGAAGCACCGGCUAACUACGUGCCAGCCGCCGCGGUAACAC
rnacentral:rRNA from 1 species